UACGUAGGGUGCAAGCGUUGUCCGGAAUUAUUGGGCGUAAAGAGCUUGUAGGCGGUUUGUCGCGUCUGCUGUGAAAAUCCGGGGCUCAACCCCGGACUUGCAGUGGGUACGGGCAGACUAGAGUGUGGUAGGGGAGACUGGAAUUCCUGGUGUAGCGGUGAAAUGCGCAGAUAUCAGGAGGAACACCGGUGGCGAAGGCGGGUCUCUGGGCCGUAACUGACGCUGAGGAGCGAAAGCGUGGGGAGCGAACAGG
rnacentral:rRNA from 1 species